UACGUAGGGUGCGAGCGUUAAUCGGAAUUACUGGGCGUAAAGCGUGCGCAGGCGGUUCGUUGUGUCGGCGGUGAAAGCCCCGGGCUCAACCUGGGAAUGGCCGUUGAAACUGGCGAACUGGAGUGUGGCAGAGGGGGGUGGAAUUCCGCGUGUAGCAGUGAAAUGCGUAGAGAUGCGGAGGAACACCGAUGGCGAAGGCAGCUCGCUGGGACGUGACUGACGCUGAGACGCGAAAGCGUGGGGAGCAAACAGG
rnacentral:rRNA from 1 species